UUUUUAGUAUAAGUAUGUCCCAUGCAGUAUUGGGGACAUACUUACACUAAAA
rnacentral:pre_miRNA from 1 species